UAAAAAAGACAUUUAAAUUCGACGUAAUUAGGACAAUCUUAAAUACCUCGGAACAGCUAACAUGACUUUGUUUUGUACAAAAACAUUUCUCAAAUAUAUACCAUCAUGCAGCUUUUCACCAGUUCAUUGUAAACGUUCCUAUAAAUCGUUCAUAUUUACCAGGAUUGAAAUUUUAUAUUUGCGCCAGACACACGUUUCGUCUACUAAAGACUCAUCAGUAAAGCUCAAUUCAAAAAAGUAAAAAAAAAAGGUCAAAUAAUAGUUGUCAAUGGUUCAGGAUUAUAAUUUAGUACGCCAGACGCACGUUUUGUCUACAUAAGACUCAUCAGUGGCGCUCAGAUCAAAAUAGUUUUAUUACGAAGUUGAAG
rnacentral:lncRNA from 1 species